UACGUAGGGCGCAAGCGUUGUCCGGAAUUAUUGGGCGUAAAGAGCUCGUAGGCGGUUUGUCGCGUCUGCUGUGAAAACCUGAGGCUCAACCUCGGGCUUGCAGUGGGUACGGGCAGACUAGAGUGCGGUAGGGGUGACUGGAAUUCCUGGUGUAGCGGUGAAAUGCGCAGAUAUCAGGAGGAACACCGGUGGCGAAGGCGGGACUCUGGGCCGAUAACUGA
rnacentral:rRNA from 1 species